AGUGAACGCUGGCGGUAGGCCUAACACAUGCAAGUCGAACGGCAGCACAGUAAGAGCUUGCUCUUACGGGUGGCGAGUGGCGGACGGGUGAGGAAUACAUCGGAAUCUACUUUUUCGUGGGGGAUAACGUAGGGAAACUUACGCUAAUACCGCAUACGACCUACGGGUGAAAGCAGGGGAUCUUCGGACCUUGCGCGAUUGAAUGAGCCGAUGUCGGAUUAGCUAGUUAGCGGGGUAAAGGCCCACCAAGGCGACGAUCCGUAGCUGGUCUGAGAGGAUGAUCAGCCACACUGGAGCUGAGACACGGUCCAGACUCCUACGGGAGGCAGCAGUGGGGAAUAUUGGACAAUGGGCGCAAGCCUGAUCCAGCCAUACCGCGUGGGUGAAGAAGGCCUUCGGGUUGUAAAGCCCUUUUGUUGGGAAAGAAAAGCAGCAGGUUAAUACCCCGCUGUUCUGACGGUACCCAAAGAAUAAGCACCGGCUAACUUCGU
rnacentral:rRNA from 1 species